rnacentral:rRNA from 1 species
GAUCAUGGCUCAGGAUGAACGCUAGCUACAGGCUUAACACAUGCAAGUCGAGGGGUAGCAGGGUAGCAAUACCGCUGACGACCGGCGCACGGUGAGUAACACGUAUCCAACCUUCCCAUAACUCAGGGAUAGCCUUUCGAAAGAAAGAUUAAUACCUGAUAGUACUUUUUCAAGGCAUCUUGAGAAAGUUAAAGAUUUAUUGGUUAUGGAUGGGGAUGCGUUCCAUUAGAUAGUUGGUGAGGUAACGGCUCACCAAGUCUUCGAUGGAUAGGGGUUCUGAGAGGAAGGUCCCCCACAUUGGUACUGAGACACGGACCAAACUCCUACGGGAGGCAGCAGUGAGGAAUAUUGGUCAAUGGGCGAGAGCCUGAACCAGCCAAGUAGCGUGAAGGAAUGAAGGUCCUAUGGAUUGUAAACUUCUUUUAUAGUAGAAUAAAGUGAUCCACGUGUGGAUUUUUGUAUGUAUACUAUGAAUAAGGAUCGGCUAACUCCGUGCCAGCCGCCGC